rnacentral:SRP_RNA from 1 species
GCUGGACAUGGUGGCACAUGCCUGUAGUCCCAGCUACUCGGAAGGCUGAGGCAGGAGGAUAGCUUGAGCCCAGGAGGUCAAGGUUGCAGUGAGCCGAGAUUGUGCCACUGCACUCCAGCCUGGGCAACAGAGCAAGACCCUGCCUCAA